CGUAGUCAACCUGCCCUGGAGACAAGGACAACCCCGGGAAACUGGGAUUAAUCCUCGAUAGGUCAUCUCAUCUGGAAGGAGAGAUGGCUUAAAGGGGUACGAGGGCUUCUUCCACGUAUUCGCUCCAGGAUGGGACUGCGACCGAUCAGGCUGUUGGCGGGGUAAUGGCCCACCAAACCUGUAACCGGUACGGGCCUUGAGAGAGGUGGCCCGGAGAUGGACACUGAGAGAGGGGUCCAGGUCCUACGGGGCGCAGCAGGCGCGAAACCUUCGCAAUGCGCGAAAGCGUGACGAGGUUAAUCCGAGUGACUCCCGCUGAGGGGGUCUUUUGUCAGCUGUAAAUAGGCAGGCGAAUAAGGGGAGGGCAAGCCUGGUGUCAGCCGCCGCGGUAAUACCAGCUCCUCGAGUGGUCGGGGCGAUUAUUGGGCCUAAAGCAUCCGUAGCCGGUUCCGUAGGUCCUCUGUUAAAUCCAACUGCUUAACAGUUGACCUGCAGAGGAUACCGCGGGACUAGGAGGCGGGAGAGGCGGACGGUACUCCGCGUGUAGGGGUAAAAUCCUUUGAUCCGCGGAAGACCACCAGUGGCGAAGGCGGUCCGCCAGAACGCGCUCGACGGUGAGGGAUGAAAGCUGGGGGAGCGAACCGGAUUAGAUGCCCGGGUAGUCCCAGCCGU
rnacentral:rRNA from 1 species